ACUGCAAUUGGAUAUAACCCGUACAAAAUUACAAUUUAUGACAAUAGGCCGCAAAACAUACAUAUGUAUAUAUAUACGGAAUAGCUGAAUGGAACUACGGUCUUUGUCUGGCACUACUCAGGCUGAUACGAUAUGAUAUAUACUGUCAACAGCCGUGUCGAUAUAGCUUGGACUUUGCCCGGCUGCGGACCACUUUAUCAUAUAUCUGACGUGGGAAAUAAGUCAAGAAAUGAGUUUAUCAAAAAAUCUUAAGCAAAGUCUACAAAUACGAGCUCCACCAUAAGAUCGGAUCACCAUAUCAUAAAGCUGUCUUAUCUGGGGUAAGGGUAUUCAAACUUCGGCUUCGAAUACCCGUUUGGCUUCUUGUAUAGGUAUUAAGGUGCUUUUGUAUGGGUUUUAAUUGAUAAAGCGGGACAUAGCUGCUGGCACACGGGCGGGCGCUGGGACACUCGAGCCCGCGCCUUGUUAUCAAGCCAAGAUUGGAGAUGACAACGCAGAUAAUAAAUUUUUUUUUUGGGUUUUUUAUAGGGCUUAUCUCUCGCACUCACAGCAGUUCCUGUUUAAGUUGUAGAUGUCUUCGUUGUUGUUGUGAUUGUUGUUGUUGCUGCUGGUUGCGACACAGCUGUUGGGUUAAUGCUGUGCUCGCGCUUCUGCUAUUGUGACUAAUCAUAAGCGCGAAUCGGCCAAUGCUUAGCAAUUCAUUAUUCAGUUUUUGUUUUUGUGACGUCAUCGUCGCCGCCUUUAGCGGCAGCUGAACGAAGGCGCCAAGCAUAAUUUCACAAUUUCACAGCGGUGCGAAAAUAACUUAACUAAUGUUUUACCACUAGCCAGAACAACUAGCAACUUUAUAAAUUCGUUGGUAUAUAUCGUUUACUACUAGAUAAAGUAUAUUGUACACGUUUAUUGCCGCCUUGCAUAAUAUAAGGUUCCAAUGAAAUGAGGGCUUGUGCGCUUACCUUGAAGAAAUAUACAAAAAGAAUAACGAAAUUUCAAAUAUAAUUUAGAUACUUUUGUGUAGGUGUGACACACCCAAUUUAAAUAAAAAUAUGAUUUGUAAAUUUGAUUAA